rnacentral:rRNA from 1 species
GAUGAACGCUGGCGGCGUGCCUAAUACAUGCAAGUCGAGCGAACAGACGAGGAGCUUGCUCCUCUGACGUUAGCGGCGGACGGGUGAGUAACACGUGGAUAACCUACCUAUAAGACUGGGAUAACUUCGGGAAACCGGAGCUAAUACCGGAUAAUAUAUUGAACCGCAUGGUUCAAUAGUGAAAGACGGUUUUGCUGUCACUUAUAGAUGGAUCCGCGCCGCAUUAGCUAGUUGGUAAGGUAACGGCUUGCCAAGGCGACGAUGCGUAGCCGACCUGAGAGGGUGAUCGGCCACACUGGAACGGAGACACGGUCCAGACUCCUACGGGAGGCAGCAGUAGGGAAUCUUCCGCAAUGGGCGAAAGCCUGACGGAGCAACGCCGCGUGAGUGAUGAAGGUCUUCGGAUCGUAAAACUCUGUUAUUAGGGAAGAACAAAUGUGUAAGUAACUAUGCACGUCUUGACGGUACCUAAUCAGAAAGCCACGGCUAACUACGUG